rnacentral:rRNA from 1 species
GUAAUCACUUGUCCCCUAAAUAGGGACUAGUAUGAACGGUUAAAUGAGGGCCUAACUGUCUCCUAUGGUCGACCAAUGAAACUGAUCUUCCAGUAAAAAAGCUGGAAUAAACCCACAAGACGAGAAGACCCUGUGGAGCUUUAAACCAAUACACCACCAGAUUAAUCUAACAUCGACAUGAACUAAUAACGUAAAUGAUGGUGUAAGAUUUAAGUUGGGGCGACUACGGAACAAAAAAAAACUUCCAUGAAAAGGAUAUAAAAUCCAUAAAAGGCUCACAAGCCAAAAAUACUAAACCACGACCCAGUAAUACUGACCAUCGAACCAAGUUACCCCAGGGAUAACAGCGCAAUCCUCUUCAAGAGUCCCUAUCGCCAAGAGGGUUUACGACCUCGAUGUUGGAUCAGGGCCCCCGGGCGGUGCAGCCGCUGCCAAUGGUUCGUUUGUUCAACGAUUAAUGCCCUACGUGAUCU